UCUCUUUAAGAUCAUAGCACCUCUAUAUAAUACCCAUAACCCACCACAAGCCAAACACCCAUCCCCUUUGUCUGCAAUCUAUAAACACACACAAGAAAUGUCUUUCCUCUCUCUCUCGGUUAUAUAUCAGACCACACACACAAACACCCCAAACACUCCAUCUUCUUCUUAAAACCAAUCACCCACACCUUCACUAUAAACACCACAUAUACAACCGAACAACUUCUCUAAAUCUCCUUCCUUAAGUCCGGUGACCGGAAUAAAGCUCCGCCUGCAACACCCCCCUCUCUCGAUUACCGGCCGGCCACCACCAUUUCGGUGGCGGCGGACUUGAGCUGCGACAACCCCACCACCACAGGCGGCGGCGCUGUGGUGGGUGGUGCCAGACGACGAAGAAAGACAUAGCAGAAGAGAGAGAGACCGGGAUGAGGAGAGAGAGAGAAAGAGAGACGAGUCGGAGAGAGAGAGAGUGACGGAGAUGAGGAGCGGCGCCGCCGCUCACGGCGGCGGCAGUGGCGGCGUGGUGGUGGUCCUUCUGGUCCGAUAAGCAUUCUGAUCAGCAACCCAGCAGGUUCGACUUCUGAUUUGUUUCGGGUUUGGUUUAGCUUCGGAUGGGUUUAGGUGUGGUUCGAUCCAGACACGGGUGACGACAUAGAAGAUGAUUAUGUUCAGGAUGAACAUCAAAUUUCUUUGGUUCAUCUCAGAUUUUUCUAUGGAUUGUUUUCGUUUUGCGGUUCGGGUCAACAUCAGAUUCAUGUUCGUGUUUCGGGUGUUCGUUUCAGCUCAACGGUGGAGUGUUCGAUUCGGGUCAGAUCUAGUCAACGGCUCGGUCAACAGUCAAACUUGGUCAAACCUGGUCAAAGACAGGUUUGACUGGUUCGGGUCAACAGAAGUCAAUGGUUCGGCUCGGGUCAAGCGGCUUGGUCAGACUCGGUUUUGGAUUUGGUUGACUCGGUCAAACCAAGUCAACUCGGUUAACUGGUCAACUCAGUUCGGUUCGGUCAUCGCAAGUCAAACUCAGUUAACAAACGGCACGAAGAAUGGAAUAUUGUAGAACGCACGCUAGCGAGUCUCGUCUUGGAAACGACAUCAUGAAGUCGUAUAUAGCUAGCUUAGCACAGGAAUAUUCAGGUUGCAUUUCUAAAACAAGGUACAGUUGGAAUAGAACCAUUGGAGAUACGAGUAAUUAGUGGCGUUCGCAUUCUAAAAGUCUUAGCUUAUUUGCUUCCGCUGUGCAAUGAAGAUACCAGUCCAGUCACGCCAAUGCUCUGAUAUUUCAGGGUGUGACAACGUUAUCUAGAUCACUUGAACAAGGUAAUCAAAACAAAGUUAUAUUACAAGUAUUGUCCGUAACCCCAUGAAAGAACGUCGGAUCAUCCCAAAACUUUACGUGUUGUUGUAGGGCCCAAGUAGGGUCGUUUCGGGUCACGGGCCAAUUUGAUCGGGUCAAAACGUUGACUGUGCUCGGGUCGGGACCGCCCGUCCAUGUGGUUCAACCAUAACCGUAUCAAACGAGGUCGGAAUGGCACAAAACUUCAUGUAAGCCAUCGGGACAACUUGACGGUGGUCUUGGGAAAGGAUAAUAUGGAUUCGGGCCCACGGGCCUGCGGGCCCGGUAUGUCCGUUUUCUCAGGAUUCUUCGUAACACCACCAAACGACGUCGGAUCGCCACGAAAGCUGACACGGUUGUUCACGGGCGUUCUUAGGGUGGUAUCGGGUCACGGCUUCACGUCUCGGGUCAACGUGUUGACCGGGCCAUGUUCGGGCCCGAUUGUGUGGUUGGGCCUUGGAUCGGGCCCGUUAUACUCGUAUCGAGACCAAACUUUAUACAGGCGUUCUUAUGGUGGUAUCGGGUCACGACAUCAUGUUCUCGGGUCAGGUCUUGGUUGGGCCUUGUUCGGGCCCGAUGUGUCGUUGGGCCUGGUUCGGGCUCGUUGUGCUUGGAUCGCCACGAAUAGGUCACGUGGAUGUUCACGCGCAUGGUUCCUGGUCGUUAUUCCCGGUGGCCAGACAUCUUGGACCUGUUGCCGGGUAACAUGUUGGAACGACGUGUGGCGUGUGUCAGGCCAUUGGCAUGUUAACAAGGCAUCGUGCCUAGCUCACCGGUCAUCGUCGCCCGUUCACUACGAUAACCUCCUGUGGGCAUGACACUUGACCUGUUAACAAGCCAUCGAGUUGGGACGAUGUGGGGCUUGGGCAAGGCACUUGGCGUGUUAACAAUGCACGGUGGCACUGCAUGGCUAGAACGAUGUGGGUAUUCGGCAAGGCACUGUGCCUGCUCACAAAGGCAUCGUGGUCAGUUUACACAUCUAGCCUCUUUUAGCGUUUUUGCUGGCCACCCCUGCGAGGACCCCGGGGUUUAUGGAUCCCCUAGUCCCCCUAUAUAUACAUUCUGAUUAAAAGGCAAAGUGUCAGGAACAGGCAUUACUUUUUUCAAUGGAUCAUAAUCUGCCAUACCAUUGUGAAAGCGGUUCUAGCCAACACUUGUAAAAUUUCGAACACUUGUGAAAUUUUCCAACACUUGUAGAAGAUUUAUUCAACACUUGUGAUAUUUUCACAAGUGUGCUAGCACAGCCUCUCGGAAGAAACCCUUAGGAACUUUUUUGGGUUGGGGUCUUGGGUGGGGAGGGACGAAUCUGAGCGACGCAGGGCUGAAUCUCAGUGGAUCGUGGCAGCAAGGCCACUCUGCCACUUACAAUACCCCGUCACGUAUUUAAGUCAUUUGCAAAGGAUUCUACCCGUCGCUUGAUGGGAAUUGUACUUCAAGGCGGCCCGCGCGGCUCGUCUGCCACGCGAGCUUAGCCUACGACACGUGCCUUUGGGGGCCGAGGCCCCUACUGCUGGUCGGCAAACAGGCGACGGGCACACGCGUCGCUUGUAGCCCGGAUUCUGACUUAGAGGCGUUCAGUCAUAAUCCAGCGCACGG